rnacentral:misc_RNA from 1 species
GAAAUGCGAUAAGUAAUGUGAAUUGCAGAAUUCAGUGAAUCAUCGAAUCUUUGAACGCACAUUGCGCCCGCCAGUAUUCUGGCGGGCAUGCCUGUUCGAGCGUCAUUUCAACCAUCAAGCCCCCGGGCUUGUGUUGGAGACCUGCGGCUGCCGCAGGCCCCGAAAACCAGUGGCGGGCUCGCUGUCACACCGGGCGUAGUAGAUUUUUCGUCUCGCCCAGGGCGUGCUGCGGGUUCCGGCCGUUAAAAAGCCUCUCUUUUAACCCAAGGUUGACCUCGGAUCAGGUAGGAAGACCCGCUGAACUUAAGC